ensembl:lncRNA
CAAAAAAUGAACCACAGCCUGCUCUGAUCUGGUGACACUGAGAGACUGGUGGGACAGAAUAAAUCAGAAGGAAACUCAGCCAUUCUUCUUCUGAAAUAUGACAGGUCAGUUGAGGGGGAAAACACUGAAAAGUUUGUGGCCCAAAUCACUCUUCACAUUGAACAGCUAUGGAACAAGGAAGGAUGCAAUAUGAACUUUUCAAAAUCACAAAGAUUCCUUAGAACGUUACUUCAUUAAGCUUCUAGAAGUAUACCAGUGAAAAUGCUGAGGAAGUUGCCUGAUGCAAAUACCUAUCAUAAAUACCCCUGGGCCUUUUUUUUCUUUUCAUGUGGAAGAUGAAGCAAAGACAGAAAAGGAAAACUAAAAGUAAAAGGUUGGCUGCAUUGCUAAAAUCUGGAUCGUCACUUUUUAAGUACUUGCUUAAAGAUGUUUUCACACAUACAUCAUGAUCAUUAUCACGUAAGGAAGCUAAGUAUGAAUUUGGGAAUAGAACAAAAUUUAUCAGUGG